GACGAACGCUGGCGGCGUGCCUAAUACAUGCAAGUUGAGCGCUGAAGGUUGGUACUUGUACCAACUGGAUGAGCAGCGAACGGGUGAGUAACGCGUGGGGAAUCUGCCUUUGAGCGGGGGACAACAUUUGGAAACGAAUGCUAAUACCGCAUAAAAACUUUAAACACAAGUUUUAAGUUUGAAAGAUGCAAUUGCAUCACUCAAAGAUGAUCCCGCGUUGUAUUAGCUAGUUGGUGAGGUAAAGGCUCACCAAGGCGAUGAUACAUAGCCGACCUGAGAGGGUGAUCGGCCAAAUUGGGACUGGGACACCGCCCAACCUCCUACGGGAGGCAGCAGUAGGGAAUCUUCGGCAAUGGACGAAAGUCUGACCGAGCAACGCCGCGUGAGUGCAGAAGGUUUUCGGAUCGGAAAACUCUGUUGGUAGAGAAGAACGUUGGUGAGAGUGGAAAGCUCAUCAAGUGACGGUAACUACACAGAAAGGGACGGCUAACUACGUG
rnacentral:rRNA from 1 species